rnacentral:snoRNA from 1 species
UUUCACAGACCUGUAGCAGUUACUGUCUGCUGCUGAGGUUUCUACUACAAGAGCAGAAAAAUAAAAGUGUCUUCCUAUUUUCUGUCUGCCUGACUUUGGCAGCCAAAAUUAAUAGAAAAUUCCAGAG